GUCAGCCUGCCAGUCUCCUCGUGGAGUAACAGGUGGUCAGCCUGCCAGUCUCCUCGUGGAGUAACAGGUGGUCAGCCUGCCAGUCUCCUCGUGGAGUAACAGGUGGUCAGCCUGCCAGUCUCCUCGUGGAGUAACAGGUGGUCAGCCUGCCAGUCUCCUCGUGGAGUAACAGGUGGUCAGCCUGCCAGUCUCCUCGUGGAGUAACAGGUGGUCAGCCUGCCAGUCUCCUCGUGGAGUAACAGGUGGUCAGCCUGCCAGUCUCCUUGUGGAGUAACAGGUGGUCAGCCUGCCAGUCUCCUUGUGGAGUAACAGGUGGUCAGCCUGCCAGUCUCCUUGUGGAGUAACAGGUGGUCAGCCUGCCAGUCUCCUUGUGGAGUAACAGGUGGUCAGCCUGCCAGUCUCCUCGUGGAGUAACAGGUGGUCAGCCUGCCAGUCUCCUUGUGGAGUAACAGGUGGUCAGCCUGCCAGUCUCCUCGUGGAGUAACAGGUGGUCAGCCUGCCAGUCUCCUUGUGGAGUAACAGGUGGUCAGCCUGCCAGUCUCCUCGUGGAGUAACAGGUAGUCAGCCUGCCAGUCUCCUCGUGGAGUAACAGGUGGUCAGCCUGCCACGCAGUCUCCUCGUGGAGUAACAGGUGGUCAGCCUGCCAGUCUCCUCGUGGAGUAACAGGUGGUCAGCCUGCCAGUCUCCUCGUGGAGUAACAGGUGGUCAGCCUGCCAGUCUCCUCGUGGAGUAACAGGUAGUCAGCCUGCCACGCAGUCUCCUCGUGGAGUAACAGGUGGUCAGCCUGCCAGUCUCCUCGUGGAGUAACAGGUGGUCAGCCUGCCAGUCUCCUCGUGGAGUAACAGGUGGUCAGCCUGCCAGUCUCCUCGUGGAGUAACAGGUGGUCAGCCUGCCAGUCUCCUCGUGGAGUAACAGGUGGUCAGCCUGCCAGUCUCCUCGUGGAGUAACAGGUGGUCAGCCUGCCAGUCUCCUCGUGGAGUAACAGGUGGUCAGCCUGCCAGUCUCCUCGUGGAGU